CUUCUCAGUCUCCCAUCGAGCCAACUGCCCCCACCCCCCACCCCAAGACGACAAGAUGUAUCGACGGAGAACCAUCUGUUUUCUCAUCAUCGUCCUCCUACUCCCGCCCCUGCUAGCUUCCUAUCCAUGUGUGGCCGCCGCACAUGGCCCACCGCAUCAUGCUUCAGGUGACGACGCUGGUGCGUGUGGUCAAAUGAAUGGGCUUCAUUGUCAAGGGGGAAAGGUGUCAGGGAUGGGAGUUGCGAGGCACUUGGGACAGAGGAUACCACUGAAGGACCCUCCCUCGCCAAUCCCUAACGAGAACUCGGGGGUGGUGAUUCCCCUGACGCCGCCGCCAUCGCCACCGCCGUCGAUCAAUUAAUAGGUGUUGGGAGUCUGGGUACGAGCAUAUGCCAUGGUGACUUCCGUGCACCUCUGGUCUCUUACUAAUGUGUUACAAGAAUAAUCUUGCUGAUGUGAAAUAAGUUGUCAUGCUUCAAAGUC